rnacentral:rRNA from 1 species
ACGUAGGGUACGAGCGUUGUCCGGAAUUAUUGGGCGUAAAGAGCUCGUAGGUGGUUGGUCACGUCUGCUGUGGAAACGCAACGCUUAACGUUGCGCGUGCAGUGGGUACGGGCUGACUAGAGUGCAGUAGGGGAGUCUGGAAUUCCUGGUGUAGCGGUGAAAUGCGCAGAUAUCAGGAGGAACACCGGUGGCGAAGGCGGGACUCUGGGUUGUAACUGACACUGAGGAGCGAAAGCAUGGGGAGCGAACAGG